rnacentral:snRNA from 1 species
GUACUUCCAAAGUACAUACACUAAAAUUGGAAUGAUACAGAGGAGAUUAGCAGGGCCCCUGCGCA